CUUCAUCAAUAUUUGACGAAGACAUGAAUGAAGGGUCCCUUCGUGGCUUCCCAUCCUCUAUGGGACAAAGUCCCAGCUCUUUCAGAGUUGGCCCUGGCUCCAUUUCUUCCUGUUCUCCCACCUCUAAAUUGUGCGUAAGGAAAGCCCACACUGGGUGUGUCUCUGGAUCCUGUACCUGCUUCAUUUUGCUACCUUGAUCUGGAAUAGCCGCCCCUCUUCUGACCUCCUCCCCCCAUGAUGUUGUGUUCCCCUCUGCCACUGCACCUAUGACAUCCCUCUUCUCCACCUGAAUAAACAGAUCUGGAACGUCAUCUGCAGCCAGGCUGAGAAUCUGCCAAAAUUCCCCAGGGAACUGGUGAUUCACCAGCAGCAGGGGAAGAGAGAGGGAACAAGCAAGAGAGAGAGACCUGCUUAUUCUGAUUCUCAUUUCCUGUCCAGCAAAUAACCCAGGCUGGGCUGUUUCUUACGAGACAGCAGUUCUUUGAGUAAAUGAUCAAUUUCUGCAAUAGAACAAAUGAUUUUGAUUUUAAUUUUUAAGAAGAUGGAUGUAAAGCAGGCUAGAGGGAAAUGGUUUCAACUGUCAUUCUGAGAAGGGAGACUUUUAUUCAAGUUGGAUUAGGAAAGCUCUUCCGCAUUCACUUGUUCUUGAAAAAUGUCUCAUCUUAAUUUUCAAGUUCUGUAUGGGCAUUGGUCCUGGCACAAGUGCAUUAUCGUAAGCUGUGGACUUUAGCAUCAACAUUAUUUCUUGCCAAUUUUGAGACUUAGAAUUAUUCUUUUUUUUUUGUGAUCAUUAGGCCCUCACUUAUUUUAAAAAAUUCUACUGGACACCUGAAGAAGAUUAGAUUGAGCUUGGCCAUGUUCGGUGGCCCCAGGCUAUAUUCCUAAUGUGUUUUUUGGGGAGGGGUCAGAAAGGGGACAUAUGAGGGCAGUGGCAUCUGAGAAUGUGGUCAAAUGAAGCAGCAUGAAACAGGGCACUUGGAGCUAAUGGUUUUCAGAUUCAUUUCAACCCUGGGGGACUUGAUUUAAAAGAAAACUACCAGUGUCUGCUAAGGCCAGACAUAUGCAAGCUCAAUGACCUGAGUAGCAAUUCCAUGCCUGGACAUUGCACGCCUGC
rnacentral:lncRNA from 1 species